rnacentral:lncRNA from 1 species
UGAAUCUCAAAAAAUUAUAAGUAAGGCCAUGAGCCUGAAUCUCAGAAAAUCGCCAGUAAGGCCACGAGUCUAAAUCCCUAGAAAAUCGCCAGUAAGACCACGAGCCUGAAUCUUGGAAAAUCGCUAAUAAGGCCACGAGCCUGAAUCCCCGGAGAAUCACCAGUAAAACAACGAGUUUGAACCUUUACAAGAACACUAAGGGAAAAAAAGACCAUAAGCGAAAUCAG